UAAAAUAGGCACCCUUAGCAAAGUUGGGGAGGGAGGCUGGAGAGGAAGGCCGGCGGGUUUGGCCAGGGGUUUUGCAGCCGAGGGGGUCUCCUGCUUGGGGGGCUGGGCGCAGAGUACAGGGCGCUGGGCGGGCACCCGGGAGCCGGUGGCUUUGGCGUGAUCGGCGGCUCUAAGAGCGCCCAGGCCUCCCAGAAUCAGGAAUGUGAGCUGCUGCAGACAGACAGAUCGAGGGAGGGUGGGCUCCAAGACCCCCUCCCAUCCCCAAGAGAAUCCGCAAACGACAAAGCUUUUAAACAAACAGUUUUAAACUGGAACUACAGGGGGAUUUACCCAACGGUGGGGAGGCGCCCCUUGGCCGGCCCGCGCUGCAAAGGUUUUCUUUACGCCGUGUGCGCCGCGUCGCGCAGCUCCGCCUGGCCGC
rnacentral:lncRNA from 1 species